rnacentral:rRNA from 1 species
AUUGAACGCUGGCGGCAUGCCUAACACAUGCAAGUCGAACGGUAACGCGGAGAGCUUGCUCUCUGGCGACGAGUGGCGGACGGGUGAGUAAUACUUAGGAAUCUGCCCAGUAGUGGGGGACAACUCGGGGAAACUCGAGCUAAUACCGCAUACGCCCUACGGGGGAAAGCGGGGGAUCUUCGGACCUCGCGCUAUUGGAUGAGCCUAAGUCGGAUUAGCUUGUUGGUGAGGUAAUAGCUCACCAAGGCGACGAUCCGUAGCUGGUCUGAGAGGACGAUCAGCCACACUGGGACUGAGACACGGCCCAGACUCCUACGGGAGGCAGCAGUGGGGAAUAUUGGACAAUGGGCGCAAGCCUGAUCCAGCAAUGCCGCGUGUGUGAAGAAGGCCUGCGGGUUGUAAAGCACUUUCAGUAGAGAAGAAAAGCCUAGGGUUAAUACCCCUGAGUCUUGACGUAACCUACAGAAGAAGCACCGGCUAACUCCGUG